rnacentral:rRNA from 1 species
UGAUUUACAUUUGAGUGAGUGGCGAACUGGUGAGUAACACGUGGGAAACCUGCCCAGAAGCGGGGGAUAACACCUGGAAACAGAUGCUAAUACCGCAUAACAACUUGGACCGCAUGGUCCGAGUUUGAAAGAUGGCUUCGGCUAUCACUUUUGGAUGGUCCCGCGGCGUAUUAGCUAGAUGGUGGGGUAACGGCUCACCAUGGCAAUGAUACGUAGCCGACCUGAGAGGGUAAUCGGCCACAUUGGGACUGAGACACGGCCCAAACUCCUACGGGAGGCAGCAGUAGGGAAUCUUCCACAAUGGACGAAAGUCUGAUGGAGCAACGCCGCGUGAGUGAAGAAGGGUUUCGGCUCGUAAAACUCUGUUGUUAAAGAAGAACAUAUCUGAGAGUAACUGUUCAGGUAUUGACGGUAUUUAACCAGAAAGCCACGGCUAACUACGUGCCAGCAGCCGCGGUAAUACGUAGGUGGCAAGCGUUGUCCGGAUUUAUUGGGCGUAAAGCGAGCGCAGGCGGUUUUUUAAGUCUGAUGUGAAAGCCUUCGGCUCAACCGAAGAAGUGCAUCGGAAACUGGGAAACUUGAGUGCAGAAGAGGACAGUGGAACUCCAUGUGUAGCGGUGAAAUGCGUAGAUAUAUGGAAGAACACCAGUGGCGAAGGCGGCUGUCUGGUCUGUAACUGACGCUGAGGCUCGAAAGUAUGGGUAGCAAACAGGAUUAGAUACCCUGGUAGUCCAUACCGUAAACGAUGAAUGCUAAGUGUUGGAGGGUUUCCGCCCUUCAGUGCUGCAGCUAACGCAUUAAGCAUUCCGCCUGGGGAGUACGGCCGCAAGGCUGAAACUCAAAGGAAUUGACGGGGGCCCGCACAAGCGGUGGAGCAUGUGGUUUAAUUCGAAGCUACGCGAAGAACCUUACCAGGUCUUGACAUACUAUGCAAAUCUAAGAGA